AGCAGCUGGCCUGUGUCCCUG
rnacentral:miRNA from 1 species